CUUUGCUGGGCCUUCACUUUCCUGAGACGCUGGGUGUGUUCGUCGGGGGUCGAUAGGGUUGCCGUCUUCCGCUAGAUCUUUCAAUCGAGGGCUCUUCCUCUUCCCCUUUUGUUAUUACUCCAUCAUUAUGAACCGAUCUUCGAUGUUGUCGCGAUUCCUCUUCCUGUAACGUCUUUCCGUUCCUAUAUAUCAAGAUCGUCUGCGGUUCUGAGAAUCUAAGAGAGGUUUUCGAAAUCUUAAAGGCAGGGGAGGUUUUCGAGUCUCUGGCGAUCCCUCUGAUGAAGCUGGUAUGGUUGAAAACUUUGGAGAUGGAGAGCGAAGGGAGACUUUCCAGUUUCAUCUUCAAUACUUAAAGACAUUAUCAUAUGCAUAUUGCCCAAAAUGGCGCCAGGUCUGUUGAUCUGAAUAAUCAAAUCCGCCGUUCAAAGAUUAAAACCUGCCCCAUGAUUGAUUGAUUCUUUGAUCUUUAUAUGUUUCUACCAUACCAACAAGAUGGCUAUCUCUCCAUCAAAACCUCAGACAAGCUCACGGAGUUUCACCAGAGCUUUGGCAUUAGCAUAAGAUUAGCAUAAGAAUUAUGUUUGGUGACUUAAUUCGAGUGGCUACUCAUCCUCAUGCUCUUCAUCAACUCCAUCUUCUCCUACGUGAUAACAAGAUUCGCAGAUCACUCCGAGCUCCAAUCUCCAUGUCUGAUGUGCUCUCAACAACAAAUCCGCCAAGGAAUAGGUUUACUUCCACUUUGGGUGAGAGUCUUGUGUAUGAUAAAGAAGAAGCUAGAGAGCUGUUUGUUUAGGAUCUCUGUUUGUUAUUGUUCUACUUCUACCAUCGGCGUACUUGUCUAAUAUGUAUUUGAUGAUUAUCUAAACCCAUUUCUGAGUACACUACCUUUUGGAUCAUCUCAUAUGAUAACUUGAUUAUCUCA